UCAAAUUUGAAAUCUGGCGUCUUCGACGUCCGAGUUGUAAUUUGAAGAAGGCGACUUUGUAGCUGGUCCUUGUCUAUGUUCCUUGGAACAGGACGUCAUAGAGGGUGAGAAUCCCGUGUGGCGAGGAUCCCAGUUAUUUGUAAAGUGCUUUCGACGAGUCGAGUUGUUUGGGAAUGCAGCUCUAAGUGGGUGGUAAAUUCCAUCUAAAGCUAAAUAUUGGCGAGAGACCGAUAGCGAACAAGUACAGUGAUGGAAAGAUGAAAAGAACUUUGAAAAGAGAGUGAAAAAGUACGUGAAAUUGUUGAAAGGGAAGGGCAUUUGAUCAGACAUGGCGUUUGCUUCGGCUUUCGCUGGGCCAGCAUCAGUUUUAGCGGUUGGAUAAAUCCUCGGGAAUGUGGCUCUGCUUCGGUAGAGUGUUAUAGCCCGUGGGAAUACAGCCAGCUGGGACUGAGGAUUGCGACUUUUGUCAAGGAUGCUGGCGUAAUGGUUAAAUGCCG
rnacentral:rRNA from 1 species